rnacentral:rRNA from 1 species
AUGAACAGAAAGGAGAUGCCGCCGAUCAUCACGGGGAAGAUGAUGAAGAAGAAAAGACGAUUGUCUUUUUUUUUUGAGGGGAAGAAAAGACGAUUGUCGGUCUACGUGCGUCGGCAGGUUGCAGACAAGCGGCAGACGAAUCCCGGCUGGAACCUAUCCGACCGGGCCCACCCACCCGCGGCCUGGCCCCACCAACAAGUGUCACUCCACCGGUCCACCCCUCGUCCUCCAAUGCUUUGCCCUGCGCCGUACUCUUCGGCCGUUUCCCCAUCUCCCUAUAGAACCAGAACCAGUCUCGCCUCUCCUCCCUAG